CCUACGGGGGGCAGCAGUGGGGAAUAUUGCACAAUGGAGGGAACUCUGAUGCAGCGACGCCGCGUGAGCGAUGAAGGCCUUCGGGUCGUAAAGCUCUGUCCUAUGGGACGAUAAUGACGGUACCAUAGGAGGAAGCCCCGGCUAACUACGUGCCAGCAGCCGCGGUAAUACGUAGGGGGCGAGCGUUGUCCGGAAUUACUGGGCGUAAAGGGUACGCAGGCGGCCAUGUAAGUCAGAUGUGAAAGGUCACGGCUCAACCGUGGUAAGCAUUUGAAACUGUGUGGCUUGAGUUAAGGAGAGGAAAGUGGAAUUCCUGGUGUAGCGGUGAAAUGCGUAGAUAUCGGGAGGAAUACCAGUGGCGAAGGCGACUUUCUGGACUUAAACUGACGCUGAGGUACGAAAGCGUGGGGAGCAAACAGGAUUAGAUACCCUUGUAGUC
rnacentral:rRNA from 1 species